UACGUAGGGACCGAGCGUUGUCCGGAAUCAUUGGGCGUAAAGCGCGUGUAGGCGGCCUUUUAAGUCCUGCGUGAAAUCCUGCGGCUCAACCGCAGACGGUCGUGGGAAACUGGAAGGCUAGAGUGCGGGAGAGGAGAGUGGAAUUCCCGGUGUAGCAGUGAAAUGCGUAGAGAUCGUGAGGAAGACCCGGGGCGAAGGCGGAGCUCUGGACGGGUAACUGACGCUGAGGCGCGAAGGCCAGGGGAGCAAACGGG
rnacentral:rRNA from 1 species